GGCGCCCAUCGUGAGAAGUUUCCUGUGGCGUGGAUGUUUCCUCUCCGGUCAGUGCCAUCCACCCAAAUCUAUUGACAUCCCGCGUGUUCCGGGCUGUCUGCUCGACCCCCCAGUGCAGGGCGCCAAGGUGAGUGCAGCGGGGUGCAAGGGCGCCGUUCCCGCCGCCAGGGAAACAGGGCUGCGGGCCGUCGGUGGGUAGCUGGUCUGGGUCGAGAGGUAGCUGGUCUGGGUCGAGAGGAGGGCCUCAAGUAGUGUGCUUUUCGCCUCCUGAGUAUCUAGAGCCCCAAAGCCGUGUCUUUCGCCUACAAAAAAACCCCGUGUCGUUAUUUACGACCUAUGUUCUGUUUUUAGCAUCUUUCCAAGGUGAAUCUGUUGACCAUAGUUUAAGUUCAGGACACUCUCAGGUCCCCGGGUGCAGCGUCGGGGUCCCCCUGCCUGCUUUGCAUUGCAGCCUCUUCCCUUGUCCUGCCAGGCUGGAGACUGCGCGGCCCUUCUGCAGACCGAUGGAAGCUCCUUGGGUCGACAGAUUACAGCUUCUGCAGCAGCUGGAGCCCAGCUACUCCCUUCAGCCACGUGGUGGGUGCCCACUGUCCCCAGGGAGAGGAUGUCUGGAAAUAAUAGCUUGGAUCUACAGUGGCCAUAAAGUUGGCUCCAACCCACUAGACUGA
rnacentral:lncRNA from 1 species